GAUGAACGCUGGCGGCGUGCUUAACACAAGCAAGUCGAACGAUGAAGCCCAGCUUGCUGGGUGGAUUAGUGGCGAACGGGUGAGUAACACGUGAGUAACCUGCCCUUAACUCUGGGAUAAGCCUGGGAAACUGGGUCUAAUACCGGAUAGGAGCGUCCACCGCAUGGUGGGUGUUGGAAAGAUUUAUCGGUUUUGGAUGGACUCGCGGCCUAUCAGCUUGUUGGUGAGGUAAUGGCUCACCAAGGCGACGACGGGUAGCCGGCCUGAGAGGGUGACCGGCCACACUGGGACUGAGACACGGCCCAGACUCCUACGGGAGGCAGCAGUGGGGAAUAUUGCACAAUGGGCGAAAGCCUGAUGCAGCGACGCCGCGUGAGGGAUGACGGCCUUCGGGUUGUAAACCUCUUUCAGUAGGGAAGAAGCGAAAGUGACGGUACCUGCAGAAGAAGCACCGGCUAACUACGUGCCAGCAGCCGCGGUAAUACGUAGGGUGCGAGCGUUAUCCGGAAUUAUUGGGCGUAAAGAGCUCGUAGGCGGUUUGUCGCGUCUGUCGUGAAAGUCCGGGGCUUAACCCCGGAUCUGCGGUGGGUACGGGCAGACUAGAGUGCAGUAGGGGAGACUGGAAUUCCUGGU
rnacentral:rRNA from 1 species